AUUAAGUGUGUGUGUGUGUGUGUAUGUGUGUGUGUGUACAUGCGCGCACACACACAACACACGCACACAUGCUACUUAAA